AUGCAAUCCGUGGCACUUUCUUCUAAGAGAUUAAGAUCCAAGCUCUUGAGUUCACAUCAUUUUCUUCAGAAGGAUUUGUAUAGAGGAAGAGAAACCGAGUGUUUUGAAGAAAAAAAAUUUGGGUUCUGGAACUUUCACGGCGGCGCCACCGUAACAAUUCAUGUGCACCGUCCUCUCCUUUUAAGCUUCUUUCAACAACAUUUGUGGGAGGAUCAUCCCUUCAUCAUAUCAUAUCAAUUCAAUAACAACAAGAUCACAUUAAGGUAA